GCAUUGCUGUAGCUGCUGGACUGCACCUUGGUGCUGCGAAUUUCUUGCUCCACAAGGAAAUCCAGGGCAAGAUAAGGCUAGGAGGCGAUCCACGAGUAAUCUUUGACUUCUAUACUAUAAGAAAAAUCUAUUGCUUAUCACGAAAUUCCAUCACAAUUGAGAAAUAGAGGUCAAGAAUUCAGCUUCGACGUAAAAACUGUUUUUCGGUUUUCGACCUCAAUGAAAACUGAAGUUCUCACUCAUGUUACCUCCAAAUUGGUCCAAAUAAGAUUCUAACCACAAGAGGAUGAAGUCAAGAUCACUCUCAAUCCUUCAAAAGCUCACUUCCUAAAAGAAAUUCAAACGGAUUUUAUCAAAAUACAAAACUAAUCCAAUUCAGCGCAGAAAAAAUCAGCAUUGCACCAUCUACGGUCAACUUUAAAAUUAGAGUUAUUUAGCUGCAAAUUUUAGCUCAAAGAAGGUAUGGACCACAUCCUAGCAUCCCCAACUCUAGUUAUGAAUCAUCAAUUUUGAAGUUGGAGUAGGAAAACCCAUCGAAUUUAGCUCUUAAAUCUCCUACUCAAUGCUGUCAGC
rnacentral:lncRNA from 1 species